GAUGAACGCUGGCGGCGUGCCUAAUACAUGCAAGUCGAGCGAACAGACGAGGAGCUUGCUCCUCUGACGUUAGCGGCGGACGGGUGAGUAACACGUGGAUAACCUACCUAUAAGACUGGGAUAACUUCGGGAAACCGGAGCUAAUACCGGAUAAUAUAUUGAACCGCAUGGUUCAAUAGUGAAAGACGGUUUUGCUGUCACUUAUAGAUGGAUCCGCGCCGCAUUAGCUAGUUGGUAAGGUAACGGCUUACCAAGGCAACGAUGCGUAGCCGACCUGAGAGGGUGAUCGGCCACACUGGAACUGAGACACGUUCCGGACUCCUACGGGAGGCAGCAGUAGGGAAUCUUCCGCAAUGGGCGAAAGCCUGACGGAGCAACGCCGCGUGAGUGAUGAAGGUCUUCGGAUCGUAAAACUCUGUUAUUAGGGAAGAACAAAUGUUUAAGUAACUAUGCACGUCUUGACGGUACCUAAUCAGAAAGCCACGGCUAACUACGUG
rnacentral:rRNA from 1 species